GAAUCGGCGGCUUACCAUGCAGUCGAGGGGUAACAUUGUGCUUGCACAGAUGACGACCGGCGCACGGGUGCGUAACGCGUAUAGAACCUACCUUUUACAGAGGAAUAGCCUUUAGAAAUGAAGAUUAAUGCCUCAUAGUAUUGAGUAAUCGCAUGAUUAUUUAAUUAAAGAUUUAUCGGUAAAAGAUGGCUAUGCGUCCUAUUAGUUAGUUGGUAAGGUAACGGCUUACCAAGACAUCGAUAGGUAGGGGUCCUGAGAGGGAGAUCCCCCACACUGGUCCUGAGACACGGACCAGACUCCUACGGGAGGCAGCAGUGAGGAAUAUUGGACAAUGGAGGAGACUCUGAUCCAGCCAUGCCGCGUGUAGGAAGAAUGCCCUAUGGGUUGUAAACUACUUUUAUACAGGAAGAAACACUGGUAUGUAUACCAGCUUGACGGUACUGUAAGAAUAAGGACCGGCUAACUCCGUGCCAGCAGCCGCGGUAAC
rnacentral:rRNA from 1 species